rnacentral:ncRNA from 1 species
UGAAAAGUAAUGAGAGGAACGAGUAGUAGCGGUCUCCCUGUUUUAGAGAGCCGGUGGCAGGUGCAAACCGGUACAAAGACCCUUAUGAAUUACCUCCUCGAACUUUCUUUGUGAACGUCCGGUCCUGCGGAUCGUAGCAAGGAACGGCAUGAACCGUUAUUUCUCCAAGUGGAAGCGAUGCUUCAACAAGGGUGGUACCGCGUGAAAAACCACGUCCCUUUU